CAACAAUCACUGCAUAUGGCUACUGUAAAGACAAUCAGGGCACUCCCUUGAGGAGCUCAUGACUGCACAUAGAUCCCAAUUCUGGCAAAAUCUAAAAACUAGAAAUGACUACAAGUAGACCCACUGGGCUAGCUAGAAGAGGAAUCAACACCUCAGAGAGGAAGCAACCCAAGCCUCUGCCCAUGCACUGAACUCAUCCUGAAUUAAGCUGAAGAGCUGCGAUAUGACCUCAAGAUCAAAACCCAAGUACCUACCAGAGGGACGGUCAGAUCUUAUAAUUUCAGCCUAUAUAUUUAAGAAUCACUUAUUUUUGAAGCUCACUAUUGAAGAUCCUAUCUCUGGGAGCAUUUUCCAGUCAGUAAGCAUUAAUCCACGUCUUAUCUGCAAACCUACAUUUGAGCUAUGGAUUUUACAAGGCCAGCUGCUGCUGUUCCUCCAACCUUCUAUUUCUAGCUAUGGAAGUUAACAACACUCCUGGAAAAACACAAGAAUCAGAUAUGAGUCUUGCCUGACGCUGACUCUCUACUUGAGGACAAUCGUAUGCAAACUGUAACCAUGUGACAAAUGGGGAGACAUUCAGAGAUGAUGGGAGGUUCAGUACAGAUCAGAACAACAACAACAAAAAAGCCUUUUCCCUGCCAAUGUGGGGUAAGAGGGAACUCUUAUUAUAUCACAUUAUUGAAUUUUUUUCAAGGGUUGCCU